UUAAGUUAACAAGGGCGCAUGGUGAAUGCCUUGGCACUAGGAGCCGAUGAAGGACGGGACUAACACCGAUAUGCUUCGGGGAGCUGUACGUAAGCUAUGAUCCGGAGAUUUCCGAAUGGGGCAACCCAGCAGUUUUAAUCAACUGUUACCACUAGAUGAAUUCAUAGUCUAGUUGGAGGUAAACGCUGUGAACUGAAACAUCUCAUUAGCAGCAGGAAUAUAAAGAAAUUUCGAUUCCCUAAGUAGCGGCGAGCGAACGGGGAACAGCCCAAACCAAAGUGCUUGCACUUUGGGGUUGUAGGACUGAACAUUUGAGUUACCAAAGAACUUGAUAGUCGAAGGAUUUGGGAAAAUCCGCCAUAGAUGGUGAUAGCCCAGUAGAUUAAAUCAAAUUCUCUCAGUUCAGGAUCCUGAGUACGGCGGAACACGUGAAAUUCCGUCGGAAUCCGGGAGGACCAUUUCCCAAGGCUAAAUACUACCUAGUGACCGAUAGUGAACCAGUACCGUGAGGGAAAGGUGAAAAGCACCCCGGGAGGGGAGUGAAAUAGUUCCUGAAACCAUGUGCCUACAAUAAGUCAGAGCGCGUUAAUGCGUGAUGGCGUGCCUUUUGUAGAAUGAACCGGCGAGUUAUGAUCCCGUGCAAGGUUAAGACUAAAAAGUCGGAGCCGUAGCGAAAGCGAGUCUGAAAUGGGCGAUUUGAGUACGAGGUUAUAGACCCGAAACCAGGUGACCUAUCCAUGUCCAGGUUGAAGGUGCGGUAAAACGCACUGGAGGACCGAACCCGUGUAAGUUGAAAAUUGCUGGGAUGAGGUGUGGAUAGCGGUGAAAUUCCAAACGAACUUGGAGAUAGCUGGUUCUCUCCGAAAUAGCUUUAGGGCUAGCCUCGGAUUAAGGAUCAUGGAGGUAGAGCACUAUUUGGACUAGGGGCCCGUCUUGGGUUACUGAAUUCAGAUAAACUCCGAAUGCCAUUGAUUCAUGUCCGGGAGUCAGACGAUGAGUGAUAAGAUCCACCGUCGAAAGGGGAACAGCCCAGACCAUCAGUUAAGGUCCCUAAAUGUAUGCUAAGUGGAAAAGGAUGUGGAGUUGCAUAGACAACUAGGAUGUUGGCUCAGAAGCAGCCACCAUUUAAAGAGUGCGUAAUAGCUCACUAGUCGAGUGAUCCUGCGCCGAAAAUGUACCGGGGCUAAGCAUACUACCGAAACCAUGGAUGCGACCAUUAGGUCGCGUGAUAGGAGAGCGUUCUAAGGGCGGUGAAGCAAGAUCGUGAGGACUUGUGGAGCGCUUAGAAGUGAGAAUGCCGGUAUGAGUAGCGAAAGAUAGGUGAGAAUCCUAUCCACCGAAUGACUAAGGUUUCCUGGGGAAGGCUCGUCCUCCCAGGGUUAGUCGGGACCUAAGUCGAGGCCGAGAGGCGUAGACGAUGGAUAACAGGUUGAGAUUCCUGUACUAGUUAAGUGCGUUUGAGCAAUGGAGGGACGCAGGAGGCUAAGAUGUGCAUUCUGUUGGAUUAGAAUGUCCAAGCAGUAAGUCUUGUGGAGAGUCAAAUGCUUUUCACUUUAAGGACAAGCUGUGAUGGGGAGCGAAAUUUAGUAGCGAAGCGUCUGAUGUCACACUGCCGAGAAAAGCUUCUAGUGAGUACUUAACUACCCGUACCGCAAACCGACACAGGUAGUCGAGGAGAGAAUCCUAAGGUGAGCGAGUGAACUCUCGUUAAGGAACUCGGCAAAAUGACCCCGUAACUUCGGGAGAAGGGGUGCUGAUCGCAAGAUCAGCCGCAGUGAAUAGGCCCAGGCGACUGUUUAUCAAAAACACAGGUCUCUGCAAAAUCGUAAGAUGACGUAUAGGGGCUGACGCCUGCCCGGUGCUGGAAGGUUAAAAGGAUGGGUUAGCUUCGGCGAAGCUCAGAAUUGAAGCCCCAGUAAACGGCGGCCGUAACUAUAACGGUCCUAAGGUAGCGAAAUUCCUUGUCGGGUAAGUUCCGACCCGCACGAAAGGCGUAACGAUCUGGGCACUGUCUCAACGAGAGACUCGGUGAAAUUAUAUUGUCCGUGAAGAUGCGGACUACCCGCGACAGGACGGAAAGACCCCAUGGAGCUUUACUGUAGCUUGAUAUUGAGUGUUUGUACAGCUUGUACAGGAUAGGUAGGAGCCAUAGAAACCGGAACGCUAGUUUCGGUGGAGGCGUUGGUGGGAUACUACCCUCGCUGUAUGACCACUCUAACCCGCACCACUAAUCGUGGUGGGAGACAGUGUCAGGUGGGCAGUUUGACUGGGGCGGUCGCCUCCUAAAAAGUAACGGAGGCGCCCAAAGGUUCCCUCAGAAUGGUUGGAAAUCAUUCGCAGAGUGUAAAGGCACAAGGGAGCUUGACUGCGAGACAGACAGGUCGAGCAGGGACGAAAGUCGGGCUUAGUGAUCCGGUGGUACCGUAUGGAAGGGCCAUCGCUCAACGGAUAAAAGCUACCCUGGGGAUAACAGGCUUAUCUCCCCCAAGAGUCCACAUCGACGGGGAGGUUUGGCACCUCGAUGUCGGCUCAUCGCAUCCUGGGGCUGUAGUCGGUCCCAAGGGUUGGGCUGUUCGCCCAUUAAAGCGGUACGCGAGCUGGGUUCAGAACGUCGUGAGACAGUUCGGUCCCUAUCCGUCGCGGGCGUAGGAAAUUUGAGAGGACCUGUCCUUAGUACGAGAGGACCGGGAUGGACAUACCUCUGGUGUACCAGUUGUGCCGCCAGGCGCAUCGCUGGGUAGCUACGUAUGGAUGUGAUAAACGCUGAAAGCAUCUAAGUGUGAAACACACCUCGAGAUGAGAUUUCCCAUUCCUUUAUGGAAGUAAGACCCCUGAAAGAUGAUCAGGUAGAUAGGUUAGAAGUGGCAGUGCGGUGACGCAUGAAGCGGACUAAUACUAAUCGGUCGAGGACUUAACCAA
rnacentral:rRNA from 1 species